rnacentral:misc_RNA from 1 species
UUAAGUUCAGCGGGUAUCCCUACCUGAUCCGAGGUCAACCUUGAAGUUUUUGGGCGCGAGGCCCGGUUCUCCGGCAGGCAAGGCCCCAACUUCCAGAGCGAGAAUGAACUUACUACGCUCGAAGCAGGGCACCGCCGCCGAUGGAUUCGAGGCACGCCGGGGGAGCCCCGGCGAAGCCCAAUACCAAGCAGAGCUUGAGG